CAUAAUAGAUGCAGGGUUAUUCACUAAAUUCAGAAUUGUUUUGUGAAAGGUCAAAUUAGGUAAUUUGGAAACAUUCUUUCGACAAUGGUCCAGUUCAACUACUUUUGAUCAGGCAGUGUUUGGAGCCUAAAGUUAGUCUCCCUGGUCUUCCCUGCUUCACUCCCCGCACAUCAGCAGGGAAAACCAUAGAGACUAACUGUUGAUGUUAAACUACUGUCAGACCCAAGGUUCACAUAUAUGGUGGAAGGAUCCUGUCACAUACUAAAGGUAAGGAGGAGUGUUUCUCAUUUUAUUUUUACAUAUACUUCAUUGAAAAACAAAUCAAUUUCCUUUCACAACUUGAAAGGAUUAUUAUAUUAGAAAAUAGUUUUGAGGUGACAGUUCUCCUUUAAGCAAAUACCCUUAUAAGACUACAUUUACAAUCCUUGAGUUUUCAACAAUACCCAAACAUCUAUAGGUGUAACAUCUGAGGUAUAUUUUAACCUCAAUAGUUUGCUGCUGGUAGCAUAGGGAUAGUUUAGCCUAAAUUCUGGUUUUCAUUUCACAAUAAUUCAUUGUUUAGUAAAAAAGAAUCACAAUUUUGCCUUAAUACCCUGUUGCUUGGACACCUGUGGUUCCCCCACACACAGGUAAU